rnacentral:rRNA from 1 species
UACGGGGGGAGCAAGCGUUGUUCGGAUUUACUGGGCGUAAAGGGCGCGUAGGCGGCGCCGCAAGUCGACUGUGAAAUCUCCGGGCUUAACCCGGAAAGGUCAGCCGAUACUGCGGGGCUAGAGUGCAGAAGGGGCAACUGGAAUUCUCGGUGUAGCGGUGAAAUGCGUAGAUAUCGAGAGGAACACCUGCGGCGAAGGCGGGUUGCUGGGCUGACACUGACGCUGAUUGUGCGAAAGCUAGGGGAGCGAACGGG